CAGAUAACGCUAAUGUCAAGGUGCUUGAACGCGUUAUUUUUCUUUAGGAUUGGUUUGUUUAUAUACUGGCAUUCAGAGCGACAUUUAAACGCAUUUGAUAAAAAUCAAAACUCUUCACAUCCACAGUAUUUAGCUUUAAAUGUACAGUUGAAAACAUACACCACUUGAAUCAAAUGUCGCCUGUGACCGUUGUCAUGGCAACCAAAAUUCCAGUUUAUGUAAAUAAACUGUCCCUACUAUGUCAGUGAUGUAAAAGUAAAACCUGAGCACAGGUGACACUUCAGGCAACCCUGAUAAUCCCAGACUUAGUGGAACAGAUGUAUUGCUCUCAGCAAAUUUAUAUACCACCCACAUUCCCAUUCAUAUUGAAGCAGUAUGCUAAAGCAGCAAUCCGUACUCAGCCACAUGAUCUGCUAUGCUUGUCAGCUGCUUAUUUCUGAGCAAUGGCUUGGGGAGAAGAACCUCCUGUUAAGAAAAGAUUGGAAUAUCCACUUGUUACACCAUCUGGAUUGUCUCCAGUACAUCUGAAAGUAUUACUUAAGCAGGAAACACUGGGUCAGGUGAAGAGGAACCUGUAACAUCUAAAUUGUAUAGGAGAAUUAAUAUUUCAGAAAUUGGCCCAGUAAUCAUGCUGCACAGAUACAAUCAGUGCUGCUAAAGUAUCUUGAAUAUUGGCAGGGCAACAGAGAGCAAAGUCACACCAGCACCUGAACAGUAGAUCUGCAGCUACCAAGUACAUAAAAUGUAGAAGGUGCGUGGGAGAGUACGAUUCAUUCUGCUUCAUGUCGAGUUUAAUGCUGAUAAAAUGGAGUGUUCUGACACAGCAUGAAUGAGAAAAUGGAAUGUCAGAUAAUAAGGACUUCAACUGUAGUUCAAAAUGCAAUUUAACUAUGGAAUAAUUUAUUUUGUUGUUCAGUGA